GUGAAUCAUCGAAUUUUUGAACGCAAAUUGCACUCUCUGGUAUUCCGGAGAGUAUGCCUGUUUGAGGGUCAGUUUAAAUAAAAAUCGUUGUGGUUGCUGCCUUUCUUGGUGACGCACCGGAUUUGGUUCUUUUUGCCUUGGGUUAAGUGACUUAAAUUUUUGCAUGAUUUUUUUCGAACUUUUUUAAAUUUUUUUACGUUCGUUUUCUCUAUUGCAUACUAGGUUUGGUCAUCCCCAUGAUUCGCGCCUAUAAUUUUUCAUUAAAUUAACCUCAAAUAAGUUAGGAUU
rnacentral:misc_RNA from 1 species